rnacentral:lncRNA from 1 species
UACUAGUGUCUUCUGAAUUUACAUUUAGGAUCACUUUUGUAGAGGAACUGUCUAAUUUAUAGAAGUUCAAGUACACUGGCUAUGAUCUCAGAGAACAUCAGCAACUAUGCACAUGAAUCCAUACUAACCCGACUAUUGAGUACCCAUAAGGUAUCUCAAUGUCACAACUUUUACAACUCAGGAUCAGAUAUUUGGAUUUAGUGCAAUCCCUAUUGGCCUAUAGUAUUUGAAAUGCCACUACUACAGAACAAACAAUCCCUAUUGGCCUAUCGCUACCUGAAAAAGAUGUAUGUGAAGGACAUUGCUGCAGUAUUCAGUGCAGGAGUGGAUGUGUGUUCGGCACUAUGAUUGAAGCGGAAGACACUAAUCGCAAGAUAGAUGAAGAAGCUGAUGCAGCGGCCACAGAUCUUGAUGUGUUCGUGAUCUCUUGUCAUGCAGCUUGCGGUGCGAGCUCACGGAAGUGUUCUGGUACCACAGUUGUAUGGCCGGUGCCUUCCUGAGAGAUCAAAAUGUGCCUCUUUCCCGAUGUCUCAAAUUCCCAUGCUUCAUUUUUUUUUCUUAUUUUCCAGUUCUCACUCAUCAUCUUAUCUGUUCAUUAAUAUGUCCCCUUAAAGAAGAGGUGCUGUCAACUCAUGUGUGGUGGGGCAGACACAGGUAUAGGAUCACCAAGUGUGUGGUGCCAUAUUUAUGCUGGCAUCCCCGCAGGUUUUAUUGAUUGGUAGUUAAGUCAUUUGAACCUAAUUUGCGAAAAAAAUUGUGGUCAUUGGGAAAGAUAUGGGAUGUCCAUCAAGAGAGAUUGAAUGAUAAAAAUACAGAAGGUGCUUAUUGAAAGUACUUUAAUCAAACAGGUGAGGAUAUAAUAUUACUAAAAGGGUGCAACCAGUGUCCGUAUAUUAUUGUAUUCAUUAGUUUACCAAAUUGGGCAAUUGGCUAAACUGGUUUGUUUAUGUUGGCGUAUAGAUUUACAGACCAGCGUCCUAUAGCUUUGUCAGUCAUCUACUACAUCUUUCUUGGAACAAUUUCAGCAGGUCAGGCUCUUAAGCGUGGGGAAAAAAUUGGAUUGGAUCCUCUGUCACCAUUCGCCCUCUUAUCCUGCAUUUGCCAACUCUUACCUGUGAAUGAAAAGAAUUGGAAUCCUUAUUAGGAAUGCAUCCUUAAUCAUGUAUAUACGAGUCACUUAAGAUUGGCUGUCAGUUAGGUUACUACCACACUGCCUGAAGAGGAAGUAACAUAUAAUUUCUGGACACACAUUUUACAAAAAUGAGAUUUAUGGAGACAUUACUGAGCAAAAAAAAUAGAGUGCUAAAUGGAGUGCAAAAUUCAUGGAUAUUGGAAUCAGCGUAUUCCAGUUGAGUGCUUAGAGGGCCUCCGCUCAUGGCAACGGAGGUCAGUGGAGAAUGAACAAUGCAGAACUAGGGUUUUAUUAAUUCCAUCACCUACUUCCUUUACAUGAAUUUACAACCCCUUUUAUAGGGCACAUUUCUCCUCAUCGCUAUUUUUACACAAACGUCCCGUGAAGAUGGUGGAAUAUCCUAGCAUAUUCCCCUUGUAGGCUAGCCCUAUCCGGGUUACUAGUGUAAUAUCCUCCGCGAACCGCCUUCAGCAUGGUGGGCCGGGGCGUAGGCCCACGUAGAGCUCAAGCCAAGGCCUUCAUUCGGGGUCAACUCAUCCUGUUUCGCGUCCUCCUCCUUGGAAUCCACCUAGCAUGUAGGGCCUCCGAUUGAUACACCUAGCGAAGGUUCUGGGGGUAACCGCCUUUCACCUUCACUCGUCCUUAUCUGCAUCCUGCGUAAGACUUACCAGGUUAGUGGUGUUAGCCCCUAUCUCCGGAAUGGACCUUCGUCCUCCGAUCUCCGAAGGGCCUGCUCUUCCCGUGCAACAAAAGCUCUUCUCGAGACCCCCAGGCUCUAUGACACUACCUACUGACUCAGGACCUGCUCAUAGCCAGACCGCAGGACCUUCGCCCUCCUGGCAACCUUAGGCCUUCGCCGGUCUUACUAGAGGUCUGAGCUGGUCGCUCCUAGGUCUGCGCUCCACCUCGGCCUUCGCCCUCCGUAGGGCUCAUGUCCCAACAAUGGAGUUCCUAACAUGUAACACCUACCACAUAAGUAAACAAAUUCAAAAUGCCAGAUAUUGACAGAGAACUGGAAAGCCCAUGGACUAUCGACGGGACACUGUUAUGCCGUCUCAUCCAUUGUCAGCUCUGUGUUGUGUGGUAUGGCAUCAGAUCUCUUCUGGAGACAAGUUUAUUGUGUAGUUUUAUAGCGUAAGCAGCAGGACAUAUGGAACUUUGGAUUUUGGGAAGAAUUGUUUAGGCAUGAAGAUGUGAAUGAAUAAUAAUAUAUAUAACUGGUGAAUUUUUUUCUAAUUAAUGCUGCCUCACCCUCACAUGUUACUGAUGCCCUCGGCACAACAUCACGUGUCGACCAUUGCUGUAAGUUCAGAAACAGCCACAGUUUCAGUAGUAGUUCCAACCUUUCAGCUGAAGGGCUACAUAUGUAUUGAUUGGGUGCUUGUGACGAUCCUAGCUAACUAUGAGGAAACAAACACCGAUGCAUGCACGGUGGUGGCGGCGCCGGUGUUGGAGAAGAAGAAAGAUUUAGUGUUCUCUUGUCAUUGCUGUCCUGCACGGGUCCAUCUUGGUACAUGAGAUGUUUAUCCCAUCCCAUGUUCGUGGGCUGACAUGAGUUCGGCAAAGAUGGCAGCCUAAGCACACAGGGCACUGCGUGCACACACUAGGUUCACUGGUGGUGCGCUAGGGCAGUAGGGCCCAGGGCCAUAUGCCCAUAUGUCUAAGCUCUGCCCACUGUGAAUCUGUGAUUUGAAGAAACCAGCUGGUCAGGAUGUGUUGGCAGAGCAUUUCCACCCUGCGUAAACUAGUUGUGGCACCACGACGUAGGUUAACACUAGAGCUGCAUGAUUCGGAGUGAUAGAUACUCAUUAGGCACCAUCUUUAUCUGUUUAUGCUAAUAGUGAUGUGUUCACGGAAAGGAGAGCUAGACGUCAUCUGUGCG